GACGAACGCUGGCGGCGUGCCUAAUACAUGCAAGUCGAACGCUUCUUCCCUCCCCAGUGCUUGCACCCAAGGGGAAAGAGGAGUGGCGGACGGGGGAGUAACACGUGGGUAACCUACCCAUCAGCGGGGGAUAACACUUGGAAACAGGUGCUAAUACCGCAUAACAGGUUAUGCCGCAUGGCAUGAGAGUGAAAGGCGCUUUCGGGUGUCGCUGAUGGUUGGACCCGCGGUGGAUUAGCUAGGUGGUGGGGUAAAGGCUCACCAAGGCGACGAUGCGUAGCCGGUCUGAGAGGGCGAUCGGCCACACUGGGACUGAGACACGGCCCAGACUCCUACGGGAGGCAGCAGUAGGGAAUCUUCGGCAAUGGACGCAAGUCUGACCGAGCAACGCCGCGUGAGUGAAGAAGGUGUUCGGAUCGUAAAACUCUUUUGUUAGGGAAGAACAAGGACGUUAUUAACUGAACGUGCCCUGACGGUAGCUAAACAGAAAGCCACGGCUAACUACGUG
rnacentral:rRNA from 1 species